rnacentral:rRNA from 1 species
GACGAACGCUGGCGGCGUGCUUAACACAUGCAAGUCGAACGAAGUGGCGAACGGGUGAGUAACGCGUAAUCAACCUGCCCUUCAGAGGGGGACACCAGUUGGAAACGACUGCUAAUACCGCAUACUGAUGGAGGGGAUUGCGUCUGAUUAGCUCGUUGGGGGGGUAACGGCCCACCAAGGCGAAUGUCAGUAGCCGGUCUGGAGGGAUGAACGGCCACCAUGGGACUGGGGCACGGCCCAGACGCCUACGGGGGGGAGCAGUGGGGAAUCUUCCGCAAUGGAGGAAAGUCUGACGGAGCAACGCCGGGUGAGGGGUGGCGGCCUUCUGGGUGUAAAGGUCUGUUAAGCGGGACGCGGUACCGGAAGAGAAAGCCACGGCUAACUACGUGCCAGCAGCCGCGGUAAUAC